UAGGGUUCCGGGCGGGUCGUUCCUGUGGCAUCUAGGGGUUGACUUUGAUCCCAGCUUCUAGAACGCGAUAGAUGGGAACACACCUGAUCCUACUCCUCGGGGUGCUGCGAAGGCCUCGGCGUGCCACGCCUCAUGCGCACCAAAGUGCUCUACCAACUUCUUGCUUCUUCAUGCUCAGACGUGCUUUGGAGGUUUUUCUGCUCAGUCCACAUCAGCCGUCUCACUGUAGGAGUUGCUGUUUGCUGUUCCUGGGUAAGAAUGUGCCACGUCUCACCCGGCCUGCAGAAGCCCUCCGCUGACCUCACACCUCUUCAACAUUCACGGGCACAGCCCUCUGGUCGUGCACUUCCUGCAGAACUACUCCAGGCUGUGCCAGAGCGGCCAGGAUGUGCUGAUAACCCGGAGGGAGAGGACCACGCUCAUCCCAUAGCCUUGGCUCCAGCAGCAGGAGGAGACCAGGCUGCACCGCACAGGAGCCAGAGGAGGAGCCCGUUGGGUGCCUGCGCCAGAGGACCCAGGAUUCAAAUGCUUCCUGUAGAGCCCUGUGUGCCACGCACAUGACUGAUCAGAACCCCACGGAUCAAUGGCGUCCCACGCCUGCAUUUGUCGUAGAUGCUACAGACUCCUUAACAGUGGAAGACGUGAGCUGAAGUCUGUGUAGGCUUCAAAGCCUCUGGUUUUUCUGCCCCCACCCUGCAAAUAGAAACAAGCUCCAAAAGAGUACGAAGAAGUUGCAUCAGAAGAUCCUAAAAGUAGGGCUAUUUUUUCAACAGUUUCUUCUUUUGACUUAGGAAAAGACCCCAUCAUGGUUGAUUUAGUCCAAGUCCAAUGCUAGGGGUUUUGUUCUGUUUUGCUUUUUUGUUGUACUGGGGAUUGAAUCCAAAGUCUUCACACUGAGUACAUCACCAGUCCUUCAAAGAAUUUUUUUUGCGACAGGAUCUCUUCAGUAGCCCAGGCAAGGCUCAAACUUGUGAUCCUCCUGCUUCAGCCUUCCCCAGUGCAAGAAUUACAGGUGGUGCCACCAUAUCUGGCUUCAAUGCUCGUUCUUUAAUACUGGUCAUUUUACCUGUGGAACAGAAGUAGAUGACUGCAUAGGUUUUGUUUGUUUCUUGAAAUAGGCCCAGGCUGGUUUCAAAGCCCCGGACUCCGGUGAUCCCCUGCCUCAGCUUCCUCAGUAGCUGGGACCACAGGCAUGUGACACCACGCCUGGUUUAUGACAGCAUCUUCAUUCACUGUCAUGUAUAUUAGUUGCUAUUUUGUCUGUCUUGAAUACCGCUAACCUGCUUCUUCAUGCAGAAAUGUCUCUCACAUUUCAAGAGCCACCUGACAAGUCGCCCCAUCCGGUUUUCCCAUUGUGCACCCCGAGCUUCACAAACACCCCACUGGGAACCUUCUCCUGUAAUGGCAGCAGCUGCUCGGGGUCACUUCCUGGGUGCCAGGCACUGUGGGACACACUUGACCUAUCGUAACGCAGUGCUCACCACAGUGCUAAGUUCCAUCACCAUGGCGCCAAGUAUGGCAGCAUGGAGAGGUCACACAGCACGUGGCAGGGCCCGGCUUGAACUCAGCUGUCUUCAAAGCUCUCGGGUACCUCAGCCUUCUCCCGGGUCCCUCAGCCUUCUCCCGGGUCAUGGGCUCUUUGCCCAUCUCUGUGACCUGACUUUAUGGUCCUUGGGUCCAAGGAGCCUUUCUCUCUCUCUCGGGUCUGAUGUCAGUGACUGAUUCACUGUCAUGUGGUCAGCUGUGGCAGCCCGGUGCUAAUUUCUGUCCUCUUUUCUAGGAAGUUCCUGCAUUUUGUCUUCCAGCUCUUACUUUUAAAAACUGUCCUAUAAUGUUAUUUUCCUAGUUUUAGUUCUCUCUUAUAUCUUGGUUUUUCCUUUUUCAUAGUACCCUCUUGCCAUAGAUACAAGAUUUUCAUCCCUUAUUGAUGAUAUUCAUCCUUAAAAAGAAGUUUCUGCCAGUGUAGUGCCAUGUCUGUAAUCCCAGCACUAAGGAGGCUGAGGCAGGAGGAUUUCUGCAAGGUUGAGGCCAGACUGGGCUACAAAGUGAGUUCAAGGCCAGCCUGAACUGCAUAGCAAGACUCUGUCUCAAAAAGACCAAAAUAAAGUUUCUCUUUACCCCA